rnacentral:rRNA from 1 species
UUAGAGUUUGAUCCGGCUCAGAGUGAACGCUGGCGGUAGGCCUAACACAUGCAAGUCGAACGGCAGCACAGAGGAGCUUGCUCCUUGGGUGGCGAGUGGCGGACGGGUGAGGAAUACAUCGGAAUCUACUUUUUCGUGGGGGAUAACGUAGGGAAACUUACGCACCGCAUACGACCUACGGGUGAAAGCAGGGGAUCUUCGGACCUUGCGCGAUUGAAUGAGCCGAUGUCGGAUUAGCUAGUUGGCGGGGUAAAGGCCCACCAAGGCGACGAUCCGUAGCUGGUCUGAGAGGAUGAUCAGCCACACUGGAACUGAGACACGGUCCAGACUCCUACGGGAGGCAGCAGUGGGGAAUAUUGGACAAUGGGCGCAAGCCUGAUCCAGCCAUACCGCGUGGGUGAAGAAGGCCUUCGGGUUGUAAAGCCCUUUUGUUGGGAAAGAAAUCCAGCCGGCUAAUACCUGGUUGGGAUGACGNACCCAAAGAAUAAGCNCC